AUAAAUGUUUUUAAUUGGAGCUCGUGGGGUUAGUUCUGCUGCUCCAAAGCACUCUCGUAAUAUUGUACCAUUUUAUGAAUCGGUUUUAUUACGCUUCUAGACAGAUAUUGCCUUCAAAUAGCAAAUCCCUUCAUAGGACUUGUGGUAACAUUUGUCACAUUUUCACAACCACACACACACACACACACGAACCCUUGUCUUCUUAGGUUUAGAUGAUCCCGUCGUUUGAGCCAACCUCUGCAGAUGAGGAAAGUUCAAAACAAACGUCAACGGCACGAUGCUUUUCGGUGCUCCCUUCUUCUCACACGCAAACCGAUAAACUCUGUGGGCACAAAAACAACACUACCUGGAUAUCAACCCUCAUAUUUGUGGUUUUUAAGGGUAACCCGAGAUCACGAUAGUUCCUGUCACGAAAACUUUGGUACGCAAGGUGAGAGAAAAUAGAGAAACACACGCACAUAUACCCGCAGACACGUGUGUGUGUGUAUGUGAGACUUUUAUCGCUACCUUCACCAUCAGCGUCAUCAUCAUGCCAAACCAAACACCACAGCACCAUCAUCAGCAGUGUUUAUUUUAUGCAGUCUCCGAAAAAGGCUCCCCCUGCUCUGGCGGGGGACCGUGUGUGGACGUGGGACGACGGUUGGUUUAAUUUCGGGGCUUUUGAUUCGUCGCGAGAAAGUGUGAAUAUCUUUACUGCCACAGCCCCGGCGGGAGCCCUUUCUUGUAGUGUGUGUGUGUGUGUGGUUCGUGGGAUUUAUUGUUUAAUGAUAGCGUGUUUCAACAAUGCAAGAAGUUGUCGGUCCCGGGUGCUUCCUCCGCUCACAAUUAAACAGCGCGCAAGUGAGUGAGGCUGGAUAAUUUCUUCUCGGCUGUGGCUUAUCACUUAAUCACUGAGCGAAGGAGGGAAAAUUAGCUCCGAUAAAGUUGAAUGUGUGUAGCUCUCGGCACGCAAGCUCUGGGUUUGGCUUAACAGUGUCGCUAGCGACAGAUUGUACAGGUCUUUUCAUGUUUAAAAUUAAAGCUCCCGACCGGUGAUUUGUAUUCUGCAGUGGAAAGGGAACAGAACACAGACACGAGACAACGGCCACGAACACAUGGCAGUAGGUUGUUGCUGGCAAGGGGCAAGUUAAUUAACUUUUCCCUGCACGACCCACCGAUUCGACGGGACGGAAAUCGACGUAGCCGAAAAUGAAGAGUGUGGCGUCUCCAACACUCAAUCAAACAUCUUCCGGUUAUGGAAUCUUCUUCGCUCUCCCUGCCUCUGAUUCUGCUGCUCUGUGUCGCUCACAACAACAUUCACCCGCAAAAGGCCGGGUCGGGGAUGUGUGUGUGUGUACCAGUGUCGGAGUCGAUUUGUGUCGCUGGAGCAGAAAUUGUCAUCGCCAUUUAAAUGAUAAUCACGCGCCAUGUCACGCACGUUCUGGCGAGCGCGUCUGCAUUCCUUUCCCGGUGUGCGCUCGCUCUCUGUGUGUGAUGUUCUGUUAGGCAACCCAAUAGAAUCGACUAUGGAACACAGAGAGCAUGGCAGAUUAGCAUACAAACCGGUGGGGCUGAACAAAUCAAGCAGUCUAGAAUUAGAUUCUUUAGGGACGCUCUGGUGGCGGCGGUGGUGAUUGCGGGAGAUAGCAGCAACGCUUCCAACUGACAGAGCUAAUCGCACAGACAUCAUCAGCUUCAUUGCACUGCGAUGUUGGUGUUUGGAAAUUAGUCGUCGAAAGUCGUCGUUCGUUGUGCACGGGAAUCUUACAAUCCGUGUAGAAACGUGCGGCAAGGACUGGUGACAGGUGGAUUGGAAUCAACACACGACCGGCACUGUCUUUGGAUGUGUACCCCCUUCCCAAACGAAUCGAUUCCCCCGCCCCAUCCCAAGGUCUUGCAUCAAAUGGCAGGAUGAAACUUGUCGGAAGACAUUCAACACGAUGAUAGGGCGAAAGUAACUGCCUUGAGCUCGUAGUGGAACGAGCAAGAAACACACCCCAAGUGAGAAAGAGAUUAAUCGAGAGCAAAUGAUACGAGACGCGCACGGCAAACCUCAUCGCCACGGACUGCACAGCGGGGCUGGGUGGCACGGGAUGCGCCAGAGUGACAAAAUUGUCGGUGAAAUGUUCAAAAUUAUACCAUGACUCAGUGGAACCAGUUUUCGGUAACGGUGCGGCGGCACACUGCCUUCCGUGGAGUGUUUCUUUCCUCUGCUAUCUGUUCCGUUGUUUCUGUUUGCUUUGAGCUGCUCGUGGCACAAACGACAUUAGGAGUGAGAUUGGUGGUUUGUUGUGCUGCUACCAUUUCCGUUGAUCGCGUUUUAAUCAGAAACAAUCGGUCGCCAAUUCAACUACCUGCUGUGAUCGGUGGGGUUGCAAAAAAAACAAGAGGGAGAAAAGAUGCACGGAAUCUGCCGGCUAUAAUUUCAUCCACAUCUCGUUAACAUCGCUUUUGGGACCUUCGUUUCGGUGGAUCUGUUCUGCCAUCAUUCUGCAGAGUGUGUGUGUGUGUGUGUUUUGAAAAGAUUUUAAAAGUAACAGACACCGCAACGGUCACGGUUAGAUGGCAAAUUAUACGCGUGCGUCGCUAGGCAAACAAAUUUAACGACACACACACAUGCACGGGUGUAUCUAUGUAUCAAUGUGUCCGCAUAGAUUACACCCUUGCCGCAAAGGCAGAAUGUUGAUGAAGCGCUAACACCUUCACCCAUCCCAACUCGGCUCCACUGCCAUUUAGUAGCGUUGCUUGUUGUGUUUGAAUGGAAACGUUAUUUCCGGGUCGCGGUGAGACGGGGAGUUGGGGAGAGGUACAUGGUAAACAAAUUUAUAAAAAGAGAGACAAAAAACUGUCAACGAUCGAAUGACAAUGUUCAGUUUUUGGGAGAAACGAAAACAAAAAAAAAAACAAACAACAUCCAAACAAUGCCGGACUGCCUACGAGCAUUACGAGCUUCAUGAUGAUGGGGACGAUAUGGUGGCGUGAUGACGAUGAGAGCACGAUGAUGAUCGUGAUGAACGAGGUUUAAAAUCACCAGACAAGCGAAAGACAAAACACACUACCCCACUCGACACGAACACGACAAAAGUUAACCACUUUUGCGCCUGUUUGCAUGCAACCCGCCUAACAUCAGAGCAACCACAGGGGAUAAAGAGCAAGCGACUGCUGUGUCUGUUUUUUCGGCUUGCCUAAUGUAUGCAGUGAUGACAAAGCCUUCCUAUUGGAUAUUCUGAUUAGCACCUCCUUUGCCGGUAGUUAGCAUAGUUGCUAAAAUUGGCCACUCAAUCAAGUUUAAUUAUCACACAGCUGACUCACGAUGUGAAGCGAUCGAAAUAGGCUGUUAACUCCAUUAAGUAUCAAUUUGCAGUCCUAUUAUUAGAAGCAUUGGAUUUGUGUCAAUAGGUAAUUUUUUUUCCUAUAGUGCACAAACCAUCUAUGAACAAAGUAGAACAUUCUGUCGGGAAAAACAUCUUCUCUUUAGAUUCCGCAUGUCUUGAGAAUUCGCAUCACAUCAAGGUGACCACCAUCUGAAGCACCUUUGAAUGAUGGCACGGCAGACGCAGCUGAGAAGAGCAAGCAGAGGGUCUUUAUUUUGCUAUUGAUGUUGGAAACUUAAUGUGAGCUAAUAAAUUUAAGUGGAUACCCA